UUGAUAGGCCUACAAUUCUAUUCAUCCACACAACAGAUAUUUCAUGACCAGUGACAGUACUGUCUUCCCUGUACUGCCCCACCAAUAUGCCUCAACCCUGACCGGCAGGGACCACCGCUCGCGCUGAGAGAAUAAUCCAGUAUUUCUAUGCCCAUUCUGUCCUUGUCAGAU
rnacentral:sRNA from 1 species